rnacentral:rRNA from 1 species
GUGCCAGCCGCCGCGGUAAAACGUAGGGGACAAGCGUUAUCCGGAUUUACUGGGCGUAAAGCGCAUGUAGGUGGCUUGAAAAGUUGGAUGUGAAAGCUCCUGGCUUAACUGGGAGAGGUCAUUCAAAACUAGCAAGCUUGAGGAUGGAAGAGGAGAGCAGAAUUCCCGGUGUAGUGGUGGAAUGCGUAGAUAUCGGGAGGAAUACCAGUGGCGAAAGCGGCUCUCUGGUUCGUGCCUGACACUGAGAUGCGAAAGCGUGGGGAGCGAACGGGAUUAGAAACCCCUGUAGUCC